AGCUAAUUGUAAACAUACUUAGUGAAUUCUGCUCAAUGGUUAACUAAAUAGCCGCAGUACCCUGACUGUGCAAAGGUAGCAUAAUCAGUUGGCUUAUAAUUGAAGUCUGGUAUGAAGGAAUAUUCGAGUAAUAGCUAUCUUGUGGUAUUUAUUUGAAUUUGGUAAGCAAGUGCAAAUACUUGUUGUUUUAAAUUAGACGAGAAGACCCUAGAAACUUUAAAAUUUUGUUGGGGCGACAGAACUACAAAUAACUAGUUUUUUAAAACAUGAAGUGAGUCGGAUAGGAAAAGUUACUUUAGGGAUAACAGCAUAAUUUAGAAUAAGUUUGUGACCUCGAUGUUGGACUAGGUACGGUUUUUUUUAGACGAAAAAGCUGAGUGCUCUGUUCGAGCAGUUAAACCUACAU
rnacentral:rRNA from 1 species